AUGACUUCCCAUGUAGGAUUUCUUGACCCUCAAGCUUCCUUCACUUCCAAAGCUGAUCAUGAUGGUUCUAGAAAGGCCUUGCUUCGGUCCAACAAUAUACUGAGACCCCUUGAAUCGUUGCCCCCAUCAGGUGCACAGCCAAAACUUUUUCAAAAGAGAUAAUUACUGCAAAGGCAAGAGUACUGAAGUACUUGUUGAUAGUAAGAAGAGGAAGACGUGUAAUAAUAUUAUUGGAGAAGGUGGGUCGGGGUUGAAUUAUGAUUCUGAUGAGAUCAGUGAUGACAAUAAUAAGAUGGAAGAGAUUAGUGCAAGGAACGGUGGAAACAGCCCCAAUGCCAAUAGCACCAUCACUGGCGGUGUGCAUCAAAAGGGCAAGAAGACGUGAAUUCCUGCUAAGAAUUUGAUGGCUGAACGCCGCCGAAGGAAGAAGCUCAAUGAUAGACUCUACAUGCUGCUGAGAUCCGUUGUUCCUAAUAUUAGCAAAAUGGACAGGGCUUCAAUCCUUGGGGAUGCAAUCGAGUAUUUGAAGGAACUUCUGCAAAGGAUCAGUGAGCUUCGCAAUGAAUUGGAGUCAACACCUGCAGCAGGUGCCUCUUCAAGCUUUCUUCUUCAUCCUUUGACACCCACUACUCUACCAACACGUAUGCAAGAAGAACUUUGUCUCAGCUCGUUGCCAAGCCCUAAUGCCCAACCUGCUAGUGCUAGGGUUGAGGUUGGGUUGCGCGAAGGAAGAGGUGUAAAAACAUCCACAUGUUUUGCAACCGGAAACCCGGACUCAUGCUCUCGACAACCUUGGAUAAGCUAUGGAUAUUUUCAGAGCUGAGCAACGCAACGAAGGUCAAGAUGUUCAUCCGGAGAAAAUAAAAGCAGUUUUGUUGGAUUCAGCUGGUGGCUUCCAUAGCAUGACCUAAUGGCAAGAAACAAACUACUGACACUGCCUUUCAAAUUAGUCAAUUUAGCAAUCUUAAUGUUUUUAAUGCUCAAAAUUCAAAUGCAUUAUACAGGCUCUUUUAACUUCUGCUCAGCUGAAUUAGGAGAAAGUUUAUUUUACCAAUUAAAAGCACUACUAUUUUUGGCGCCUUUUGCAUAUUCAAAGUGAAACGAAAUUUGAUGAUGGUCUCCACUCAGUUUAGAGACAUUCUGAAUAUGCAUAUGUUGAUGUCAAGCUUGUUUCUACAAUUUCAUUGUCUUCAUUGUACAAUUAGUAGGUACAAAGCUUUAAUGGACUGUUUUCUCUAUUUUUUCCUAUUUCAUUUAUCGCCAAAAAUGAAAAGGAGAAAAAGAUAAGAAUAAGGAUAAACGAAAAGAGCUUUUACCAGACAAAACUGAAAAUUCAAUGCUGGCUUCUGAAGAGGUCAGGAUAAAUGGGGUCUCAUGCAUCAGCAGCAAAAAAUUAAAGGUUUUGCCAAAACACAGUCCCCACUGUAGGCUACUUUUAAUCUAGAUAAGUAAUGAAUUCCAUGGGCCAAAGCUUGUUAGACAUAAAGGACAAAACCACGGAAAUAAUGAGGUCCACAACGUGCACAUACAGAGUAUGUUUCUCUAGCAGAAAAGUACAAUCAAUUAAUUUAUUUUUCUUUUCAAAAAACAUUAUUAUUGGUCAUUCAUCGAUGGUGCUUUCAAGGAAUGAAGUUUUAUCACGUAACCACGUUACACAUCCCAGAGAGAGGACCACACCACAACUAGCAGUGUCAUCGCAACGAUAAACCACAAAUACAUUUCACUAGAAUUUUCAGAUCCAAGUGUCCACUUUCUUCACCCGUGACAUGACAUCAACUUCAAUCUACGCCGCUCGCUCGAAAACCCUGGGACAAGAUAUGACGGUAAUGGACUCACCAAGGCACCUUGAAGAGGCAAAAUUUAAUUAUACAUCUACCCAAACGCAUGCUAAGAUUUUAAUAUCGACAAUCAUUUCCACGAGUUCAGCAUACUGGCACAAAUAAGAGACAAUCAUGUUUAAAAUCGCCCUUGUAUAUCAACUUAAUUACAUUAACGAGUUCCGGUACUAAGGUUGCGAGUAAAACUAUGUACAAGGUAGGAUUGUUGAAAAAUGCAAAGGCCGAUACACUCCCUUAUCACCUUGCACAACGCACAAUUCCGUACUAUACUACUAUAUUAGGAGUGUAUAACAGGGAAGGCA